rnacentral:misc_RNA from 1 species
UUAAGUUCAGCGGGUAUCCCUACCUGAUCCGAGGUCAACCAUAGAAAAAUUUGGGGUUAAUGGCAAGCAUCCACCAGGUCUCUAUAGCGAGAAGAAUUACUACGCUUAGAGCCAGGCGGCACCGCCACUGACUUUAAGGGCUGCGAGAUAGCAGGCCCCAAUACCAAGCUGGGCUUGAGGGUUAUAAUGACGCUCGAACA